UAGUCAUAUUUUAAGUUUUUUUUUCUUUUAAAAUGAUUUGAAUAGAAUCCAUCCAAAAGUUAAUUACUUUUCAAAUAAGCCACACUGUUCGUGUGAAUACAUCACGCGUCACAUAUACAAAUUAAUAUCUGCCAGAACUAUUUGAAUAUUUCUUGACUCAGGUGAGGUGAAUGUACUUAAUCAAAAGAAUUUUUUUGAUUGUAAAAUUGCCAAUGAAUAAAAUAAACAGAACAAUUAACGAUUUUUCAAUUGGCAUUUUUGUAAGUUAAUAAAGUGUGACAAAUUAAGAAUACAAAAGACAGGAAAAAAUUCUUAGAUGAAAUCAGCAAUAAAAUUUGGAAUAGAUUCCUAAAUAGUUUCGAGCACACGAGAAUAUCAUCACUUAAGCAGAUACAAGUACUUUAGAGAGCUCAAAUAGUGAAAAGCAUUUAAUUGUUAAAAAACAGCGAAGUUUAUAUCGCAUUUGUAUCUACUCGUACGCAUGUAAAGCUGUUACAGUACAUAUCUCACAACCUUUUUUUCGAGACUAAUAUCUUUUAUUACUUACGGAUGUUGUUUAUUACGUUUAAGUGGAAAAAAUAUAUAGACCCAGAAAAAGAAAAAAUUCAACAAAAUUCUAUUUUAUGACAAGGUAAAGGCUAAGUACUAGACUACUUUUUCAUUUUGUUCUGUUCGGCUGUUUGGCUGUUUGGAGUAUUUGCAUAAAAUAGUAGUGAAGUGCGUUUAGUAGGCAAUCAUCAUCGAUGGUAAUCAUAAAGAACUACUCAAGUGUGGCAAUACUAAAAAGCGAAAUGACAACAAAAAACAAAAAACAAAAAAAUUCAAGAAAGAAUAUCAAUGACUGACAGAUAGUCAGCCAGCGACGCCGUCAGACAUCGUCAGACGGCAUUAGAAUGGAAUUGUGGAAUUGUAAAUUGCAAAACUCAAACGUAUGAUGAAUUAAAAGAACCUAAUACACAUACAUACA